GCCGGGGUGGUGGAAUGGCAGACACGUCGGUCUCAAAAACCGAUGAGGUUACACUUGUGAGGGUUCAACUCCCUCCCCCGGCA
rnacentral:tRNA from 1 species